rnacentral:lncRNA from 1 species
UCGGAAGCCUGCCUGCACCUGGGCGCGCGCUCUUUGGUUCUACCGUUGCACGUUCCCUGAGCUUCUGCGGGGACUGCCUGGAGGGGCUGCGCUGCGCUGCCCGCCCCCCGACCCCGCCUGUAGGCACGGCUCACACUUAGACCGCAGCGCCCCGCAAGGGACCCAGUGGCCUGUCUGUAGAAUAAGGGUGAUUCGAAGGCAGAGCCUGGCUUGGUGACCCAGAGGUUUGUGGUCCUGAGCUCUGAGCACCAGUGUCCGCACCUGUAAAGCGCUCAGAACGUCGGAGUGUGACCCAGUACAAGUGGGGGUGGAAGGUGGGGAUCAAUUUCCGUUUCUCCGCAGCCUUUGUGGAAUGUUGCGUCUUUUGUCAAGACCUAGGAGAGAGACUGUGCUCUCUCCUGGCAUCCUCGGGCCUGGAAAUCCAGGCAGCUGCCAGAGAGGGCCGAGCGUGUACUUCGAAGCCACAGAGCCGCACUUCCUAGUGGAAUAUCCUCAUGGCUCUUAUAGGGAUGGGGACUCCCCACCCCCACGACAGACAGGGGAGGCUGGAAACCCGCUGGUGCCUGGCCUCAGCACACUCCUCUCUACACAGCCCAGGGGCAAUAGAGGCAUCCUCUUGGCUCUAGCUUGGUAUCGCCGUGGGCCAUUGUUUCUGGGCCUCCUGCACUCUGAGAAACAGGUUUCCACACCCAGGGCUCUGGUGUCUGCCAUGCUUGGGCUCAGCCAGCUCUGUGGCUGGGCUGGGUUCUUGCAGGCAGGGACAGCGCUGGGCCAUGGCCUUCCAAGCCUGUCCAUCUGCUCAUCCGACUGCCCUCAUUUGCCCAGUUUCCUGUGAUACGUCCACGGAACCCCAGUGAGCCUCCUGCAAAGAGGCAACCACAGGACACGUGGGAAAAGUGGCCUCUGCAUUGCUGUGGUUUCCACUUCCGGGUGAUUCGGACACCGUCCAGUUGAGGGCUAACAGCCGGGCAGCAGACUGCACAGUCACCAAGUCCUGGCUUUGCGGUGAUUCCCGUGCCCCCAGCACAAGCGUGGCAGGCGUACCAGGGUCCCCAUAUGGAGGCAUGAGGUCCCUGAGCUCCUUUCCAUGUCCCCAGAGACCUCACCAAAUUGUGCAUUGCCCUCUGGUAAGGCCAGACUUUAUAUGACGUGGUAACUCCAGUGUAAGGUGUUGAAUCCUGUCCCCACCAAAGACAGGUCCAGGUCCCAAAGCUUGGUCCCUGUGACUAUGAUUUUAUUUGGAAGUAGGGUCAUUGCAGAUGUGAUCGAGGUAAGAUGAGGUCGUCCUAGAUUACAGAGGGCCCUGUCCAGGGAUCCCCAUCCAUAUGAGAGGGAAACUUGAACGUACUGCUCCGGAGAUUCAGAGAAGGGGAGAGAACACCGUACAGACACAGAGGCAGAGCUCUGGGAUGGAGCCGGAGCCUAGAAACAACUACUGCUUGAGGUCCCGGUGUUGGUGAGAAAAUCCCGGUGGAACCGAAAAGCCCCUGUAGAAGCACGCUUUCCCGGGGUCAGGAGGACCCAGGGCUUCUGGAGUCCGACAUGCGCAGCUGUUGGAUCUCAGCAUCUUCACUCUCGUCUUUAACCUGCAAAAUGGGGUCCCGGUGCCCAGGAGGGGAAGGGAUGGAGAAUGCCAGGUGGCAGGGGCAGGGCACAAGGGAGACCCGCCCUCACCCUGCCCUCCUUUUGCCUGGCAUGCACUAGCUGGGGCUGCAGUGGCUCUUCCUGUCUGUCCUGGGAUCACUGUUGCUGGACGUUAGCCCCAUUCUACAGAUGGGGCAACUGAGGCCUAUGGGUCAGGGGAAUCACCAUCCAGGCAGGGAACCCAAUUCAGCCUUGUGCUGUUGGCCGCAGACCAAACGACCAGCAAUAAGGAUCCAAGGGGCCCUAGCAGCCAGAGAAAUCAGAGAGGACUCAGUCUGCAGUGGGGGCCACUGACUGGGACACCUAAGGUCAUGCCCUCAAUGACUGGCCGGUGACUCAGGAGGAAGCAGCUGAUGGGGAAACCGCUGGUCUUGCCCCAGCUGAGGAAGCAGGCCAGACAGUGAUAAGGAGCCACAGCCUCCCAUCCCCCACGCUCUGGGGACCUGCAGCCGGGGAGCCCGGAAGGACCCAGCAGGGCCCAGCCCUCAUGGGCAGGAAGGACCAGCGGAGGCCCCCUGAGAACCCACACCCACGAUCUCGUCCAACCCCGGCCAGGCCGUCACAUCACAGAGCGGAUGUAAGGGGGUUUUCGAGGCUCAGAAAUGCAGAAACUUGCCCCUAAUGCAAGCGGCAAACAGUUGGGCCUCAGUUUUGUUUCUGUGAAAUGGAACGAAAAAUGACCCCACCUCCCAGGGAGGCCGUGGGCCCCGGCUCCCUUCGGCUCCACCUUUGGGGACCAUUUUUUUCUCGCACUCACCAGAGCUUCUCAGCUCCAAUGCCCUGGUCUUUCAUUUCUUUUUAAAUUAACUACCUCCUACUCCAAGUCACAGGUCUUCUGAGCCUAGCCUUUUCAUGGCUAAAAGGGGUAGAGUCCUAUUUAGCUCCCAGGGAUGGGUGACAUAUAUAUAGAAUAACGUGACACCGCAGCGCUAUUCACAACAGCCAGACGAUGAGGCAACCCAAAGGGCCCUCCGCCGGCGGACGGGCCCGCGGGAUGCAACGGGGAACAUUAUUCGGCUCUAAAAAGGAAUGAAACUCUGAUUAUGUUGACACCCUGGAGAGAGCUUGAAAACCUGGUGCACAGGGAAAGAAGCCGGUCACAAAAGGCCACCAAGGCUACGAUUCUCUUCACAGGCAGGAUCCAGAACAGGCAGAUCCAUGGCGACUUCGGGAGGGGAUGAGCUGCUGCCAGGCGCUGGGAGAGGGCGCGGGAGGGACUGCUUCGGGGUGAGGCGUUUCCCUUCCGGGCGAGGGGAAAAUUUGCAAAGAGUUAUGGUGGCACACAUCGUGGACAUACUUAAUGCCACGGAACUGCACCCUUAAAAGGGGAUGAAACUGGGGGUUCCUGCGUGGCUCAGCAGGUGAAGGAUCUGGAGUCGUGACCGCUGUGGCGCUGGUUACAGCUGUGGCAUGGGUUGGAUCCCUGGCCUGGAGACUUCCGCAUGCUGCUGGUA